CAACACUGUUCGUCUUCAUUGGUAAGUUGCUUUCUACGUAAGAUAAUGUCCAUAUCUUCAACCUAAAGUUCAGACAUUAGUUUAUUACAGUAGGGCAAUUGUUGGCAUUUUGUGUUUAUCUACAUCCUCAUGCUAAGGCAUUACAAGUAAGGCUAGCUAGGCCUGGGUAAAGUUAGUAGCUUGCUAACAACCUAAGUUAACACCAGCAAAGUAACUUAGCUAAAGUUUACUGGUGAUAAGUUUACUGCUUUACUGCAGAAUAAUGUCUGUGGUAAACACACAAUAAUUUCAAUCCCUUAUCAAUUGUUACUGUAAUAUAGCCUGUCAAAGUCCAUAGGUGAUAACUUUUGCGAUGUUAAUGCGUAUUUAUUGCUGAUGAUGUGUGGUAUCAUGAAAUUAUACUGGUUGGGACAGCUACAGUAAUAAAUGGCAAGUCUGGGCUGCUGUCAAAAAGCUCAAUAGAUACUAGCUUGUUGAUGUGUCCUGUUAUUUUGAUCUUAAAGUGCAGCAUUGAUGUAACAUAUUGGAGAAGUAGAUGUAGCCCAAUAGUCAUUUCUUUGUGUGCUGAUGAAGUUUACACUUCAUAAAUACAGUACAUUUCUCAGCAAAACCUAGACUGAAGUAAUAAAUAGCUACCAUAACAGAAAAUACAAAGGCUUUGAUAUGAACAUAAAUUAUGCUAGAAUAAUGUCUAUUUUCAUUGCAGUUCACAUGGCAGAUGUGGUGCUUUGUUGGUUGAAAUGUUUAACUACAGCACACUAGAAUGUAAAGACGUAAUACAAAAAACAUUUUUUGUGUGGAAAUACACUUUCUUUAGGUGAGGAUACCAGGCUGAAUCAGUGGGUGUUGAACAUGAGGAGAAAGAAGGGGACUCCCUCUGGCACUUUCUCCUCUCACUUCACUCUGCAUUUGAUUACCCAUGUCAUAAUGAAGUUAAAUGUGACAACUCUGUCAAACACUAAGCCACAGUGUUCAGAGGAAAUGUGCCCAUUUCAAGGAAAGGUAUCCACACAGGGAAAACUGAAUGACCACAUAAGGAAACCCUGAUGUAUUGAGCAGCGUGUUUGGUGCCAUCCAUCUUGUUCUGGAGAAGAUAGACCACAUGGACAUCAUCCUCUGUUCUCAAGAGACUUAUGAAGAUGACUCUACAAUCAACUUACAGUUCAGCCUUUCUGAUGUAAAGACAGUUUACAGUAGCAGCUAAUGUGAAUCAUUGAAGGAUCUCUCCACUUAGUUAUAGGUUCAACUUCUUUCCUGCAUAGGAUCUUCUUUUGUGCUAUAACUGAUGCGAGAUAGUCAUUGCAUAUUUUUACCAAAACAGUUUAAAGAACUAGCAGGCUGGAGUUCAAGGAUGAAACAACCCCAGUGCAUUAGUUCACACAAGUGAAAAGUAAUUUCCUGUUUGAGAACAGGCUCUAGAUUAGGGAACAUCUGUAACUGGCCAACUAGAUGUUCACCUGGGAGCAUAAUAUCUCCUACUGUUGUUACCAUCUAAAUCUUUACUCUUAACUUAUAACAUCCUAUGGAAAUAACUUGUGUCAGUUAAUUAAAGAUGAGUUUUAAAAGUUUUAUUAAUUGCUGCGCAGAAAUUAUACUUAGUUGAAGAAUGCGAGAAAUAUGAGCCAUGGGGGGGGGAAAUCCCAUCAGAUUGAAUAAUAAAAAAAAAAAACAGUGAGAUUAAACAGAAAUAAGUACAUUUUCUAUAAACUACUGACUACUCUUAGCUGGUUUUGCAGAUUUGCCACAUACCUUGUUAAAUGUAACAGAAGACUUAUGUGAAUUGUUUUGUGGUGCAGUACAUUUCAUACAUACAUAUGACACAAGUUAGAAAACCAACUGUCUCUCUUCUGAUCCUUGGUUGUUAAUGUUAAGGGACAACUUAUAAUAUUCACAUUUGUGUAUGUUAUGUAUGCCAUUAGGAUAAGACAAGAUUGAAUGUGGCCUGAAAAUUAAUAAUCUACAUUCUGACAAAGAAAAAUGCCAUUAAUGUCUUCCUGUGAUUUGAUUAUUGAACAUAGAUAUUAAACUAAGUUACAGAUAUGUACCAUAAGAGAAGUCAAUGACUUGAGCAAUAAUUUAAUAAAUUACUUUAUUGCACGUUAAAAAUAGCAGUAAACAUAUUUUAGGAUCUAUCAAUACACAGUGGUGGACCAAGGUCCAAGGUUAGAUUAGGACAGAUGGUAAAGUUGAACACUGAUAUGGCUACAAGUGUUAUUUUCAAUACAAACAUAACAUUAAAUUAAAGCUGCAAGCAGCGAUGAAUGGGCCUUCGCAACUGACCGCAGGUGAAUAUCAAUUCCUGCAUCCGCUGUGUGGCGCUAAAGAACACCCACUAAUUAUACGUCAUGUUCCAGUAUAUGAAGUGUGGACCACACCCUAAAGAUUUCUUUUGAAUCAAAUCAUGAUUGUCACGCAAGGCUUACUUCCUGUUGCCAGUUGGUGGUGCAGUCACUACAACUCCUAAUUGGCAUUAAGAUAUCCUUAGGCCGUGACUCUUAUCAAACAUGUGAAAUUUGGGGCAGAUGGGACAAUGCACACUCAAGUUACAACAACUUCCUGUUGAACGGUGAAUAAUGCGUCGCCACGACAAUGGUGUUUGGUGGAAACUUACAAUCUUCACAAUGAAGCAUCAUCAAGGCCUUAAGACUUUGCUGAACAAAUUUGAGGUGGAUCUGGUUAAUCUGGUAGGUGUAAUUUGUAAGGGUAUAGGGUCUGUAACUUCCUGUUACAUGUAGGUGGCGCUAUGUCUAAUAUUCAAUAUUGGCUUGUAGAUGUCUUCAGGAUGGGACUCUUAUAAAACGUGAAGUUCGGGGCAGACGUGACCAUGUACACUCAAGUUAUAACUACUUCCUUUUUCAUGGUGAAACAUCAAAAUUCGACGCCACUUCGACGCAUGCUGGAAGUUAGCAGACCAGGGGUUAGCUGGCUGAUAGCUUGGAACUAGGGGUUAAGGCUUGGGUGCAAAGGAGGCUGUUAGGGUUAACAGACUCAAAGGCAGGAGCACAAAGAACAUAGCCUCAUACUCCACGGCUUCCAAGCGAGCUGCCAUCAACUUCUUGGUCACAGCUGGGUUCUCCUCUGAAAAAAAUUGAUUAUGGACUCAGAGUCAUUAGGAUAAAUUAUAGGCUGGAAUGCCAGUAGUUGUUCAGUCUCUGCUGGGUCCAAAGUUGGUCGGUUCGUACUAUCAUAGUGAUGCUAACAGAGUAGCAGAAGACACAAAGGAUUGGACCCAAACAGACUCAGAGGCAGAGCAGAUCAAGUACAGUGAUUUAAUGGCAAGUGUAAGCUUACAUGGAUGGUGAGGCAGGUGGAGAUCAAAACCAGGGGAUCAGUCCAAACUGGCAAACAUAAUCCAGUAGGGAAUAUGCAAAUAAU